rnacentral:rRNA from 1 species
UACCAGCACCCCGAGUGGUCGGGACGAUUAUUGGGCCUAAAGCCUCCGUAGCCGGUCCUGCAAGUCUUCCGUUAAAUCCAGCUGCUCAACAGAUGGGCUGCGGGGGAUACUACAGGGCUAGGAGGCGGGAGAGGCAAGCGGUACUUUAUGGGUAGGGGUAAAAUCCGUUGAUCCAUAGAAGACCACCAGUGGCGAAGGCGGCUUGCCAGAACGCGCUCGACGGUGAGGGAUGAAAGCUGGGGGAGCAAACCGG